UACGUAGGGGGCAAGCGUUGUCCGGAUUUAUUGGGCGUAAAGAGCGUGUAGGCGGCCAGACAGGUCCGUUGUGAAAACUCGAGGCUCAACCUCGAGAUGUCGAUGGAAACCGUCUGGCUAGAGUCCGGAAGAGGAGUGUGGAAUUCCUGGUGUAGCGGUGAAAUGCGCAGAUAUCGGGAAGAACACCCGUGGCGAAGGCGGUUCUCUGGGACGGUACUGACGCUGAGACGCGAAAGCGUGGGGAGCGAACAGG
rnacentral:rRNA from 1 species